rnacentral:rRNA from 1 species
UACGUAGGGGGCAAGCGUUGUCCGGAAUCAUUGGGCGUAAAGAGCGUGUAGGCGGCUUGGUAAGUCCGCUGUGAAAGUCCAGGGCUCAACCCUGGAAUGCCGGUGGAAACUGUCAAGCUUGAGUCCGGAAGAGGCGAGUGGAAUUCCUGGUGUAGCGGUGAAAUGCGCAGAUAUCAGGAGGAACACCAAUGGCGAAGGCAGGCUCGCUGGGACGGUACUGACGCUGAGACGCGAAGCGUGGGAGCAAACAGG